ACCUCUGUGAUUGCAAUGCUAUGGUUUCCCUGUGCAAGAUUUAGUCUGUGCCUCCUGUUCUUCCUGAGUCCAGUAACCUGCGAUUAUACAGCCCUUGCAAUAAACUGCCAGUUCCAGGACAUCAUCUGUCUGUUUACAGAUUCUGGUCUUUGGCUCCCUGCAACUCUGCUAAAGUAUUCCACUCCCCUCCAUUAUUUGAAGAUUAGGAGCAUUUACCAGAUGCCAGAAAAAGGUGGAAUUUCCUUUUCAUUUUGAGAGAAGAAAAAUAAAGGAAAUAUUGCAGUUGCCCAGGCAAGUUAUCAGGCAGCAGAAAGGGAGUAGCAGGCUGCAGGGCACCCCAAAAUACUUGGAACAAAGGUGAAGAAUGAUGUAAGAAUAUGAGCACAUGGUGAUCCAGAGUGGACAAUGGAGGAAUACUGUCACAACUCCAGCUGCUUCCAGAAAUCAGAAGUCCAUGCGAACGUCUCCCAUUCCUGGUUCGGACGUAUCUAAGCGACUCCACUGCUCCAAUACUCUGUUUACAAGAGCAGCCAUCAUCAGCACUAUUACCUGCAAUUGCGUCAGCUUCAUCCCCAGUGCAGAAGAUGUAACAGAUCUAUGCGGGUCAAACGCUGCAGUUUGUUCGCAGUGCAGCGAUCGUGUCAGAAUUGCGCUUGCCAGCCGGCCAAAGGCCGUCGUUACCUAGCAAUCGCCUCUGCCUGACUGACAGGCAGAGACGUUCGAUGGGCGGGAGGGGGCAGCACGGCGGCGUUUAGCCAUUUUUGGGACGCGGUCCGGCCAACGCAGGUGUGGCCGGACCGUA